UACGGAGGGUGCAAACGUUGCUCGGAAUCAUUGGGCGUAAAGCGCACGUAGGCGGCUCGUUAAGUCGGAUGUGAAAGCCCUGGGCUCAACCCAGGAAGUGCAUACGAAACUGGCGAGCUUGAGUAUGGAAGAGGGUCGCGGAAUUCCCGGUGUAGAGGUGAAAUUCGUAGAUAUCGGGAGGAACACCAGUGGCGAAGGCGGCGACCUGGGCCAAUACU
rnacentral:rRNA from 1 species